rnacentral:lncRNA from 10 species
UUGAGGACUUCUAAGCCCUCUCACAUCAUCCAUCUAUUCCCAUUGAACCGAACCUUGCUUCAUAGUCACACUAAUCGCCAAAAGAGUUUCUGGCUAAGUGAGACCAAAGUACUCAUAACAACAAGCAUCUGUCAUCUACCAUAAUACUCUCUACUAUGGAUUUUAAUUGGUAGCAAUGAUUUCAAAACUUGACUGCUGUUGAGUUUUAGAUGAAUCAUCUUACCCAGCCCCUGCCCAUGCCUCCAACUGCAUCUUGAGCUACUCUCCAUUUGCUGAGGGCAUUUGCUCAGGACACUCCAGCUCCACUAGCCUUUUCCAGCUCCUCCAGCACUACGCUGACCUCCUUCCAACUCAUCCAACACAUCAAACUACUUCCUGCCUCAGAGCCUUCCCUCUGCUUGGACAUCUUUUUCUCCAUUUCUUGCUUGACCAACUUGUUUCUACUCAACUUCCAGAUUCCUGUUUUAAGGUUGGUUUUAAGAGCAGCCUUCUGAGAUCCUCCCAAGGUCAAGGGUUAGUCACCUGGUAAGAAGCUGCCAAUUGCAAAUAAGAGUGUGCACUUGCUGGAUGUCUUCUGUUUGCUCUCUUGACCCACCUUCUACCAUUCCCCACCUUCUUCUUUGCCUCCGGAAGGGAGCUUUCUGGACUGCACCAACAAGCUACUUUGUCCUCUGGCUUGUCCUCGGAUUCAGUCAGUGGGAGGUACCCACAAGGUGACUUAGAAGGCAGAAGAGGAAUGAGCACUUGGUCAUGUAAACAGAUCAUUGUCGUUUUCAAUGUGAAGUUACUUGGCUGCCUUGGAAAAAAGUUUAAUCAUUGGGAUACUGCUUCAGCAUUUUCUCCAAGAAGUUCAUUCACAAGGCUAGGCCAAGAGGGAGGCAGAGCAAGACAGCUGGAUAGAAGCCUCCACCAAUCACCCUGCUCACAGCAACACCAAAAUGAACAAUUAUCCAUAAAAAAAAAAGGAACUUAACAAGAACCAAAAGUCAGCACCUGAAAGCAGGGAGGAGACAGUACAGUGAGGAAAAGCAUCUGACAAGGCCAGCUGGGGCAGAGGAUGGGAAGGAUGGAGACACCUUGGUUUGGAAGGCUAGGAAGCAGGCAAAGACUGGCUGUCACUUCAAAUCACUAACCGGGCCCACUGAUUCCAUCUACAAUCCUAACCCACCUCCUCGGGACUCCCUAUGCCUUCCUACCAGUGAAAUGCGAAAUAGCAGCACCUACCACAGCCAAGAGAGCACUUAACACAACAGCAGUUUAUGGACACGAAGAAGAGAAGGGAGAAUAAAGAGGAAAAUGAUGUUGAUCUAAAAGUCUCACUCUGGUCCCUUUUAUAAUAGAUAUUUUACUUUGAAAUAAACA